CCGCUGAGUAAGAAAUGGCCAGAGAGUAACGGAUCAGCAAUUCUGCCUCUUAGGAAACCUCUAAACUUUGCAAGGCUGGAAUUGCGGUAAAACCAAGCUAUGGGCCAAGUGGAGCUGAUUUGGGGUGCCUUCUCCUUGAUGGUUCUGGGGGCCCUUAUCAGCAUGUGCAUGAAAUGUCAACAGACUGGGAGUAAACAGGAAAAGGCAAAUGUGGACAACCAGAGAACUCAGUGUGAAAAUCAACAGGACUGUGAAUGUCCCAUUUACGUAGUGCCUAUUGAUCUUCUCUCU